rnacentral:rRNA from 1 species
CCUACGGGGGGCAGCAGUGAGGAAUAUUGGUCAAUGGGCGGGAGCCUGAACCAGCCAAGCCGCGUGAGGGAAGAAGGUCCAGCGUAUCGUAAACCUCUUUUGUCAGGGAACAAAGGCGGGGACUAGUCCCCGGAUGAGGGUACCUGAAGAAAAAGCAUCGGCUAACUCCGUGCCAGCAGCCGCGGUAAUACGGAGGAUGCGAGCGUUAUCCGGAUUUAUUGGGUUUAAAGGGUGCGUAGGCGGGCUGUUAAGUCAGCGGUAAAAGUGCGGGGCUCAACCCCGGCGAGCCGUUGAACCUGCGUGUCUUGAGUGGGCGAGAGGUAGGCGGAAUGCGCGGUGUAGCGGUGAAAUGCUUAGAUAUUGCGCAGAACUCCGAUUGCGAAGGCAGCAUACCGGCGGCGAUCUGACGCUGAGGCACGAAAGCGUGGGUAUCGAACAGGAUUAGAUACCCCAGUAGUC